AUUUGCGUGUAGUGGUUUAAAUGUUGGACUACAACUCUGAAAACCAGGGUUCGAUUCCCUACUCAACUA